rnacentral:rRNA from 1 species
UGACGGUACCCGCAGAAUAAGCACCGGCUAACUCCGUGCCAGCAGCCGCGGUAAUACGGAGGGUGCAAGCGUUAAUCGGAAUUACUGGGCGUAAAGCGUGCGCAGGCGGUUNGNUAAGUCAGAUGUGAAAUCCCCGGGCUCAACCUGGGAACUGCAUUUGAAACUGCCNGGCUAGAGUGUGGUAGAGGGGGGGUGGAAUUCCGGGUGUAGCNGUGAAAUGCGUAGAUAUCCGGAGGAACACCGAUGGCGAAGGCAGCCCCCUGGACCAACACUGACGCUCAGGCGCGAAAGCGUGGGGAGCAAA